AGCUAACGUUGGCGGCGUGCCUAACACAUGCAAGUCGAACGCGCCAUAGCAAUAUGGUGAGUGGCGAACGGGUGAGUAACACGUGGGUAAUCUUCCCUCGAGUGGAGAAUAAGCUCGCGAAAGCGGGUCUAAUACUGCAUAGCGCCCCGGGACAUAAGUUCCGAGGCCAAAGCCGAAAGGCGCUUGAGGAUGAGCCUGCGUCCUAUUAGCUAGUUGGUGGGGUAAUGGCCUACCAAGGCGAAGAUGGGUAGCCGGCCUGAGAGGGUGAACGGCCACACUGGGACUGAGACACGGCCCAGACUCCUACGGGUGGCUG
rnacentral:rRNA from 1 species